rnacentral:rRNA from 1 species
UACGUAGGGUGCGAGCGUUGUCCGGAAUUAUUGGGCGUAACGGGCUCGUAGGCGGUUUGUCGCGUCGGGAGUGAAAUCCACUGGCUUAACUGGUGGCUUGCUUUCGAUACGGGCAGACUGGAGGUAUGCAGGGGAGAACGGAAUUCCUGGUGUAGCGGUGAAAUGCGCAGAUAUCAGGAGGAACACCGGUGGCGAAGGCGGUUCUCUGGGCAUGUCCUGACGCUGAGGAGCGAAAGUGUGGGGAGCGAACGGG